rnacentral:rRNA from 1 species
GAUGAACGCUGGCGGCGUGCCUAAUACAUGCAAGUCGAGCGAACAGACGAGGAGCUUGCUCCUCUGACGUUAGCGGCGGACGGGUGAGUAACACGUGGAUAACCUACCUAUAAGACUGGGAUAACUUCGGGAAACCGGAGCUAAUACCGGAUAAUAUAUUGAACCGCAUGGUUCAAUAGUGAAAGACGGUUUUGCUGUCACUUAUAGAUGGAUCCGCGCCGCAUUAGCUAGUUGGUAAGGUAACGGCUUACCAAGGCGACGAUGCGUAGCCGACCUGAGAGGGUGAUCGGCCACACUGGAGCGGAGACACGGUCCAGACUCCUACGGGAGGCAGCAGUAGGGAAUCUUCCGCAAUGGGCGAAAGCCUGACGGAGCAACGCCGCGUGAGUGAUGAAGGUCUUCGGAUCGUAAAACUCUGUUAUUAGGGAAGAACAAAUGUGUAAGUAACUAUGCACGUCUUGACGGUACCUAAUCAGAAAGCCACGGCUAACUACGUG